rnacentral:rRNA from 1 species
UACGGAGGGUGCGAGCGUUGUCCGGAAUCACCGGGCGUAAAGGGCGCGUAGGUGGCUUCUUAAGCGUGCGGUGAAAGCCUGGGGCUCAACCCCGGGUCGGCCGUGCGAACUGGUGGGCUGGAGCACUGUAGAGGCAGGCGGAAUUCCGGGUGUAGCGGUGGAAUGCGUAGAGAUCCGGAAGAACACCGGUGGCGAAGGCGGCCUGCUGGGCAGUUGCUGACACUGAGGCGCGACAGCGUGGGGAGCAAACAGG